GUGAGGAAUAUUGGGCAAUGCCCGCAAGGGUGACCCAGCAACGCCGCGUGGAGGAUGAAGGUCGUAAGAUCGUAAACUCCUGUUAGAGGGGAAGAAUAGCUAAGUUUGGAGCUUAGUAUGACUGUACCCUCAGAGAAAGCCCCGGCUAACUACGUGCCAGCAGCCGCGGUAAUACGUAGGGGGCAAGCGUUGUCCGGAUUUACUGGGUGUAAAGGGCGCGCAGGCGGGAUAACAAGUCAGAGGUGAAAUCCUACAGCUUAACUGUAGAACUGCCUUUGAUACUGUUAUUCUUGAGUUCGGAAGAGAGAGACGGAAUUCCAGGUGUAGUGGUGAAAUACGUAGAUAUCUGGAAGAACACCAGUUGCGAAGGCGGUCUCUUGGUCCGAUACUGACGCUGAGGCGCGAAAGCGUGGGGAGCAAACAGGAUUAGAAACCCCGGUAGUCC
rnacentral:rRNA from 1 species